UACAGAGGGUGCGAGCGUUAAUCGGAUUUACUGGGCGUAAAGGGCGCGUAGGCGGUUAUAUGAGUGUGAUGUGAAAGCCCCGGGCUUAACCUGGGAAGUGCAUCGCAAACGAUAUAACUGGAGUAUAUGAGAGGGUGGCGGAAUUUCCGGUGUAGCGGUGAAAUGCGUAGAGAUCGGAAGGAACGUCAAUGGCGAAGGCAGCCACCUGGCAUAAUACUGACGCUGAGGCGCGAAAGCGUGGGGAGCGAAC
rnacentral:rRNA from 1 species